CGUUAGGCACACACUUGGCCGCGCCAUGAAGCUGCUUGGCCUCUACGCGCUCGCCGUGAUCCUCCUCCUCCUCCUCGUCUGCCUGCACACGGCGCAGCCCGCGAAGCGGAAGCGGCAGAGGCCUUACCAGAAACCUGGCUAUUGCCCAGAGUUUCUUCUUGAAUGCCCCUUCACCCUCUUGCCUGCGUGCAAGCGCGAUAAGGGUUGCCGCAGGACGAAGAAGUGUUGUUUCUACAACUGCAAGAAGCAGUGUCUGGAGCCCUUGACAAGCUGGGAUUGAGCUUAUAAUAGUGACUUUCCUCUCCACAUUAAAAAUGUGAGGUAGAAACCCCUUCUUAACCAGACCUGAGAAGACCCAUGGCACCGGCUGAGACCUGGAUAACUGACCCUCAAUUCCUCCACGCUCUUCUCACUCCCCAAACUUCCUUUCAUCAAAAGUUAAAUGCUUAUUAAUAUGAAAACAACAGAAAGAAAGAGUGUUGUAUAUUUAAAACUACAUGAAAAUCUAUGACUCCUGGAUGUCCCCCCGUCCCCCACCUCGCUUCUCUGUCUUUCAGCCUUUGUGGGGGGGGGGGGGGGGCUUCAGAGUUUGUAAAAAGGGUAGAAGUUACUGUUUCACAUUUCAUUUUGGUUGGUUCUUGCACUUCUGUUUUUUCGGAUAUGUUUCUCUCUCGCAGUGUCUCCUGACCUUCAGAUUUUUUGUUGGUCAGAUUCCAGGGGCAUUUUUGAGUCAUAUCUUCUGGGUCUGGAUCCUGUGAAAGCUGUACACAUUACCCCCAGGUGGACGAGGAAGACGGGUCAUUGUCUCUGGUGUUGCUGCCUUUCCACUCGUGCGAGUAGCGUGUUCUCGGGCCACGUCUGGAACUUAGGGCUGGAAAUGGAGCAGGUCGUGCCUUUGUUCCAAGCUACUUUAGGGUCUCAAAUGUAGACCCAUCAUAAAUCAAGAAAAGAAACACUGUGACCCAGUUUAGCAACCUUAAGUCUUAGUGUGGGGGUGCAGCCCCUAAGCUACCUAAUAAUGAAAUGAUACCCUUGCAUUUCUUACCUUCUGCUAUCUGAUUCAGUCUUGAUUAGGGGUCACACAAGGAUUUCAGGUCGGGGAAUGUGGCCUUCAAAAAAUUUAUUUUUCUUGGACACACACACACCUGAAACAAAGUUUUGUGAAACUGCCGUUGCCUAGAAUGUUUUAAGUUGACGUAUAUAAUAUUUUUCAUCAUAACUUACAUGGUUGCAAGUGCUAGAAUUUUAGGGAUAUGAUGAGUAUUUUCAUUUAAAUACAGUGGCCUGGGAGGCUCAG